GCUAGCCUGAGGUAGUAAGUAUAGGCGGUAGAGCACUGAUCGGGCUAGGGGCCGUAAAGGUUACCGAACCCUGUCAAACUCCGAAUGGAUAUACUGUAGAGCCUUGGAGUCAGACUACGAGUGAUAAGAUCCGUGGUCAAAAGGGAAACAGCCCAGACCACCAGCUAAGGUCCCCAAUGUCGUACUAAGUGGAAAAGGAUGUGGGGUUUCAUAAACAACCAGGAUGUUGGCUCAGAAGCAGCCACCAUUUAAAGAGUGCGUAAUAGCUCACUGGUCGAGAGACCCUGCGCCGAAGAUUCCCGGGGCUAAAGUACGAAACCGAAGCUGUGGCUGUAUACGUAAAGUAUACGGGGUAGGGGAGCGUUCCCAUAGGGUAGAAGUCGAACUGGAAGGUUCGGUGGACUUGUGGGAAGUGAGAAUGUUGGUAUGAGUAGCGAAAAGAAAGGUGAGAAUCCUUUCCACCGAAAGCAUAAGGAUUCCUGAGCAACGAUCGUCGUCUCAGGGUAAGUCGGGACCUAAUCCGAGGCAGAGAGCGUAGGAGAUGGACAACUGGUUGAUAUUCCAGUACCGGUAGUAAUUGUUUGAGCAAUGGAGUGACACAGAAGGGCAGGCAAGCAUGCGAAUGGAAGAGCAUGUGUAAGCGUGUAGGGUGGUGCAUAGGCAAAUCCGUGCACUGAAAGCCUGAGGCGUGAUGCGGAGUGAGCAGAGAUGCGAGCGAAGUUGUUGACCCCACACUGUCGAGAAAAGCUUCUAGUGAGAGAGCUACCGCCCGUACCGUAAACCGACACAGGUAUGCGGGGAGAGAAUCCUAAGGUGCGCGGGAGAACCCUCGUUAAGGAACUCGGCAAAAUGUACCCGUAACUUCGGGAUAAGGGUAGCCACUGUUGUGAAGUCCCAUGCGGAUGGAGCAUAGAGUGGUCGCAGAGAAGAGGCCCAAGCGACUGUUUACCAUAAACACAGGUGCCUGCUAAAGCGAAAGCUGACGUAUAGGUGCUGACACCUGCCCAGUGCCGGAAGGUUAAGGAAGGAUGUUCGGAUUAGUCCAAAGCAUUCGACUGAAGCCCCGGUGAACGGCGGCCGUAACUAUAACGGUCCUAAGGUAGCGAAAUUCCUUGUCGGGUAAGUUCCGACCCGCACGAAAGG
rnacentral:rRNA from 1 species